rnacentral:snoRNA from 12 species
UUUCUCUACCAUGAUGAAUGAAUGAGCGGAAGAGUUCUUGAAGACUAUAUUCAUCACCCAAGACUGAAAAUAUA